CCUACGGGUGGCAGCAGUGAGGAAUAUUGGUCAAUGGACGAGAGUCUGAACCAGCCAAGUAGCGUGAAGGAUGACUGCCCUAUGGGUUGUAAACUUCUUUUAUAUGGGAAUAAAAUGUUCCACGUGUGGGAUUUUGUAUGUACCAUAUGAAUAAGGAUCGGCUAACUCCUUGCCAGCAGCCGCGGUAAUACGGAGGAUCCGAGCGUUAUCCGGAUUUAUUGGGUUUAAAGGGAGCGUAGGUGGAUUGUUAAGUCAGUUGUGAAAGUUUGCGGCUCAACCGUAAAAUUGCAGGUGAAACUGGCAGUCUUGAGUACAGUAGAGGUGGGCGGAAUUCGUGGUGUAGCGGUGAAAUGCUUAGAUAUCACGAAGAACUCCGAUUGCGAAGGCAGUUCACUGGACUGCAACUGACACUGAGGCUCGAAAGUGUGGGUAUCAAACAGGAUUAGAUACCCGGGUAGUC
rnacentral:rRNA from 1 species